rnacentral:rRNA from 7 species
CGUCGAUGAAGAGUGCAGCUAACUGUGUGAAUUAAUGUGAACUGCAUACUGCUUUGAACAUCGACAUCUUGAACGCAUAUUGCGGCUACGGGGUAUCUCGUGGCCACGCCUGUUCGAGGGUU